AAGGAUUCCUUUAGUAAUGGCGAAUGAACAAGGAAUAGCUCAUGUUGACAACCUGAACCUCUGGUUUAGAUUUGCAUAAUAUAGAUGCAUUGCCAAUGAAAGUGUGCAUGCAAGCCUUUUGGAAGAAAGCAGCAAUGAAGGUGAAACUCCUGCGUGUCAUGUGCAAUCUUUCAUACAAGGUGUGCUUCCAAGAGUCGCGUUCCUUGGAAGUGGAGCGCAAAUUGGGUGGUAAACUUCAUCCAAAGCUAAAUAUUGGUUUGAGACCGAUAGUGUACAAGUACCAUGAGGGAAAUGUGAAAAGGACUUUGAAAAGAAAGUUAGAAGUACCUGAAGUUGCUGAAAUGAAAGCAAAUGAAAUUGAUUGAUUGUAGCAAGAUUGCAGUGUGCAAAUGUCAGCCAGUCGGUGCACAUGAUUUGGCAUCCUUGGUUGUUUUAUGCGCAUCGUGUGUCUUGCUUUACAUGUCACAACUAAGCCGUGAUGUCAAUAUGUUGAGCAUGAGGGAACGUUCAUUGUUUGGCGUGAUCAUGCCCAAGACUGACAUUUGACUUGGUGCCUUUUGCUAGGCUGUGCGCCCUUUGCAAAGCGAAUGCGUUGCGGCGCGUUUGGCAUUGCGUGACUUUGAUAUUUCAUUUGACCCGUCUUGAAACACGGACCAAGGAGUCUAAUGCAUGUGCGAGUUUGUGGGUUUAUCAUUUGGGGCGAAAUGAAAAUGACAGUCGGGAUGUAUGCACCGACAGCCAACUAAUCAUUUGUGAGAGGUUUGAGUUUGAGCAUAUUUAUUAGGACCCGAAAGAU
rnacentral:rRNA from 1 species